rnacentral:misc_RNA from 1 species
UCUCCGUAGGUGAACCUGCGGAGGGAUCAUUACUGAGUGAGGGCUUCGGUCCGACCUCCAACCCUUUGUGAACCAAACUUGUUGCUUCGGGGGCGACCCUGCCGUCCGCGGCUGAGCGCCCCCGGGGUCAAUCAAACACUGCAUCAUUGCGUCGGAGUUAAAGUAAAUUAAACAAAACUUUCAACAACGGAUCUCUUGGUUCCAGCAUCGAUGAAGAACGCAGC